rnacentral:rRNA from 1 species
CGGCUACUUCACGUUUAAACACCGGUUCCCGUACGAUCACCAAAGUUAAGCAAUGUCAAGCCUAGUCAGUACCUAGAUGAGUGACCGCUUGGGAAUACCAGAUGAU